AAGGAUUUAAGUUAAAAAAACUAAUAGCCUUCAAAGCUAUAAAUAAAAGUUAUUAAUCUUUUAAGCCUUA
rnacentral:tRNA from 1 species